rnacentral:lncRNA from 1 species
GCAAUUAUGAAAAGGGAAGCAUGGCAGCGUGCAACUUGAAUAAAGUUUCAAUAAUGAAAAAAAGAAAAGAAAAAGAAAGAACAUGAACAACAUAAUAAAAUGAAAAUACAAGGAGUAAGCUAAAGCCUUCUAAUGUAGAUUGUGACAUCCACCACCGAACAUUCAUCACGACAAGGAUGCAUAAAAACAUGCAUGAACAGUAGAGAAAUGAUAGAUGGAGUGAGAAAAAUUAAUGCAUCACUUAAGAGAAAAAAAAAUAAAAAUAAAAUAAAAAGGAAAGACACAUUGCAUUGUAACUUGUAAAGAACCGUAAAAAUGUAAAAAGUGAUUGAAUCAAUUAAAGAUGCAACUUUGAACUGAAAAUUAAAUGUAAUUCAUCAUGGCAAUAAUAAAAAAAUGGACACUU